rnacentral:rRNA from 1 species
GACGAACGCUGGCGGCGUGCUUAACACAUGCAAGUCGAACGAAGAGCGACGGAAGCUUGCUUCUAUCAAUCUUAGUGGCGAACGGGUGAGUAACGCGUAAUCAACCUGCCCUUCAGAGGGGGACAACAGUUGGAAACGACUGCUAAUACCGCAUACGAUCUGACCUCGGCAUCGAGGAUGGAUGAAAGGUGGCCUCUAUGUAUAAGCUAUCACUGAAGGAGGGGAUUGCGUCUGAUUAGCUAGUUGGAGGGGUAACGGCCCACCAAGGCGAUGAUCAGUAGCCGGUCUGAGAGGAUGAACGGCCACAUUGGGACUGAGACACGGCCCAGACUCCUACGGGAGGCAGCAGUGGGGAAUCUUCCGCAAUGGACGAAAGUCUGACGGAGCAACGCCGCGUGAGUGAUGACGGCCUUCGGGUUGUAAAGCUCUGUUAAUCGGGACGAAAGGCCUUCUUGCGAACAGUUAGAA